UUUAGCAGCCACCAUUCCAACGUACGGUCGGAUUUCAGAAGAAAUUCAUUUACAAGCAUCAAAAAUAGGGUAUUGGAAUCAAAAACACGAACUCUGCUUCAAGAGGACCAACCUAUCUGUGCAGAUUUUUCAUUUCAUCUUGUAUGGAUUGAAGUAUUCAUUCUUUUCCUAGAAUAAAAUGCAUAUCUUUUCCGCUCUGAUUGCGGCCACCCAUGCAAGCAAUGUAAGUAUAAUUAGAUUGCAGCCCAAUGGCUUAUCUAAUGAAUCAGAAGAUGAAAUCGAUAUGCCCUUAAACAGAAAAAUAUAAUAAUUUCCAUCCUCAAAAAAUUAGAGUUACAAAGUCCCUGACUAGACAAGGAGCCCUUCGUCCUUGCCUAGUCAGGGAGGGGGUUGGGGAAAAAACUCACCUCCAAUAAAAUGCCGGAAAGGAGGAAGGAGGAGAGGAGCUUGCCGUCGGAUGUCGCUCGGCGCCGGAGAGCACAAGGGUCGGCCGCUCGUCGUCGGAGAGGAGGGAGGAGGAGAAGACCUUGCCGUCGGACGUCGCUUGGCGCCAGAGAGGGCAAGGGUGGGCAGCUCGUCGCCGGAGAGGAGGGAGGAGAGGAGCUAGGGCUUGAGAUCGAGAUGCAGAAUGAGGAGGGGAAUGGCCCGCUUGUUUUUUGUUGUGAAUUUGAGUUCUGACGACGUGUAUACGUGUCGUCUUAGGCCACAAUCUACCACGACGCUAAUUAGCG
rnacentral:lncRNA from 1 species